rnacentral:rRNA from 1 species
GACGAACGCUGGCGGCGUGCUUAACACAUGCAAGUCGAGCGGUAAGGCCCCUUCGGGGGUACACGAGCGGCGAACGGGUGAGUAACACGUGGGUGACCUGCCCUCAGCUCUGGGAUGAGCCUGGGAAACUGGGUCUAAUACCGGAUAUGACUCCAUGACGCAUGUCGUGGGGUGGAAAGCCUUGUGCGGCUGGGGAUGGGCCCGCGGCCUAUCAGCUUGUUGGUGGGGUGAUGGCCUACCAAGGCGACGACGGGUAGCCGGCCUGAGAGGGCGACCGGCCACACUGGGACUGAGACACGGCCCAGACUCCUACGGGAGGCAGCAGUGGGGAAUCUUGCGCAAUGGGCGAAAGCCUGACGCAGCGACGCCGCGUGAGGGAUGACGG